UGCCCCGGAUGCGGCGAACACGCUCGAGUCCACCGGGUUCCACUCCACCGAAGUGAUGGGGGCGCAGUGCUGCUUGAAGUUGGCCACGGGCCGCCCGGUCUAAACAGCACCCCAACAAGAACAUUAGUUUACAUGGAUCUUGACUAAGGCUCACAGUGAAAACCUUACCUUAAACUGCCGGAGGUCCCACACUUUGAGAAGCCCAUCGUCCCCCCCCGAGAGGAGGAACGGUUCGGUUCUGUUCCAGCUGAUGACGUUGAUGUCUGACUCAUGGGCUUUGUUGGCUGACAGCAUGGAGGUGGGCGGGGCGCGGAUAUCCCAAACACGGAUGGACUGAUCUA